GGGCGUUUAGCUCAGUGGUAGAGCGCUCGCUUUGCAUGCGAGAGGCCCAGGGUUCAAUCCCCUGAACGUCCA
rfam:Cylindrobasidium torrendii FP15055 ss-10 unplaced genomic scaffold CYLTOscaffold_167, whole genome shotgun sequence.